UACAGAGGUCUCAAGCGUUGUUCGGAUUCAUUGGGCGUAAAGGGUGCGUAGGCGGCGCGGUAAGUCGGGUGUGAAAUCUCGGAGCUUAACUCCGAAACUGCAUUCGAUACUGCCGUGCUUGAGGACUGGAGAGGAGACUGGAAUUUACGGUGUAGCGGUGAAAUGCGCAGAUAUCAGGAGGAACACCGGUGGCGAAGGCGGCACUCUGGGCCGGUACUGACGCUGAGGAGCGAAAGCGUGGGGAGCGAACAGG
rnacentral:rRNA from 1 species